rnacentral:rRNA from 1 species
AUGCCCUAAAUUCGAGAUUAAGCCAUGCAUGCCUAAGUUCAAGUCCUUGAACGACGAAACCGUAAACGGCUCAUUAUAACAGCCAUUAUUUAAGAGCGCUAAAUUUCUACAGGAUAACUGUGGCAAUUCUACAGCUAAUACUUUUAAUCCACGGGUAUCUCACGAUGCCUGGUAGUUAACAGCUAAGACCAGCUCACCCUCGGGUGAUUUCUAGACGAAUCUAGUUAACUUGCUUGAUCGUAUGGGUUUAUUCCGACGACAACGCUCUAUAAGUGGCUGACCUAUCAACUUACGCUGGUAGGAUAAACGCCUACCAUUGUUAUAACGGGUAACGGGGAAUCAGGGUUCGAUUCCGGAGAGGGAGCCUGAGAAACGGCUACCACAUCCACGGAUGGCAGCAGGCGCGAAACAUGCCCAAUGCUCGACGAGCGAGGCUGUAAAGAUAAAUAAGAAUGUGUACCCUUCUGGGUAUCACAAUUCCAAUGAGAAUAUUGUAAAAACUCUAUCGAGUAACUAUUGGAGGGCAAGUCUGGUGCCAGCAGCCGCGGUAAUUCCAGCUCCAAAAGCGUAUAUUAAAUUUGUUGCAGUUAAAAAGCUCGUAGUCGUAAUUGAGGAUGAGUUUUGGUAAUAGUUUACGCUGUUGCCUAUGACUCUCCUUCUUCUGACCAGUACAUUUGUAAUGAUCUUGACAGGUUGUUGCUGAUGACGGUCAAUUUUACUUUGAAUAAAUUAGAGUGCUUAAAGCAGGCUUAUGCCUGAAUAUUUGUGCAUGGAAUAAUAGAAUAGGACUUUGGUUCUAUUUUGUUGGUUUUCGGAACUGAAGUAAUGAUUGAAAGAAACUGCCGGGGGCAUACGUAUGCUGAAAGGAGAGGUGAAAUUCAAUAAUCUUCAKCAGACGACCUACAGCGAAAGCAUUUGCCCAGAAUGUUUUCAUUGAUCAAGAACGAAAGUCAGAGGAUCGAAGACGAUCAGAUACCGUCCUAGUUCUGACCAUAAACGAUGCCAACUAACAGCUCAUUGGGUAUUUACAAUGACUCUGUGAGAAGUUACCGGGAAACCAAAGUCUUUGGGUUCCGGGGGAAGUAUGGUUGCAAAGCUGAAACUUAAAGGAAUUGACGGAAGGGCACCACCAGGAGUGGAGCCUGCGGCUUAAUUUGACUCAACACGGGAAAACUCACCCGGUCCGGACACUGUUUGGAUUAACAGAUUGACAGCUCUUUUUUAAUUCAGUGGGUGGUGGUGCAUGGCCGUUCUUAGUUGGUGGAGUGAUUUGUCUGGUUAAUUCCGAUAACGAACGAGACUCUAAUCUGCUAAAUAGUACACAUGUAAAUUUUGCAUGGUGAUACUUCUUAGAGAGAUCAAUAGCGUUUAGCUAAAUGAGAUGGAGCAAUAACAGGUCUGUGAUGCCCUUAGAUGUCCGGGGCCGCACGCGCGCUACAAUGGCGGGAGCAAUAAGUAUUUUUCCUGGCUCGAAAGAGUUGGGUAACCUUUAAAUCCCCGUCGUAUCAGGAAUAGUGGUUUGGAAUUUUUCCACUUGAACGAGGAAUUCCUAGUAGGUGCAAGUCAUUAACUUGCGCCGACUAUGUCCCUGCCCUUUGUACACACCGCCCGUCGCUACUACCGAUGAACGGUUUAGUAAGAUUGUUGGAUCUCUUUCUAUGGAAGGCAACGACCGUGGUCUAGGAGAAGACACUCAAACUUGAUCGCUUAGAGGAAGAAAAAAGUUCGAAACAGGCCC